GGUGCAGCAUGUUCAAGUUGUUCCUAUUGCUGAAAUACGUACAUUAAGAGUCUUAAAGGAUUACCUGGUAGCAAAAGAAUAAACAGUAGUUCAGCAACUAAAGCAGCAUAAAAACAACAGCAAAAAAGCAACAAAACCAGCAGCAAAUCCGUGUUAAAACAACCCGAAAACAUAGAGAGGGAACCUAGAAACGAACUCUAAAGAGGACUUAUACUUUUCUAAAAGUUUGCACUCUAAGACUCACUCCCAAAGCUCACCAUUUCAGCUUACUUUUCAUGUGUUCUUGUGACAAAGCAAUUGUAAAAAAUGCCCCCCGGAAGUGUGAUGGAAUCCCCUCUAUAUAUCAAAACAACCAGCUAUUUUAAAAAAUUAAAAAUCAAUCUUUUUGACAGAUUUUUCUACAAAAUUUGCUCUUAAAUUCAAAAAGCAAGACUUUCUAGUUCAAAUCUUGUCAAGUAUUUCAAACAAAAUCUGCUCUCCACUAUUCAAAGAUAGACUUUAUUCAAAUAAUGUCCAAAGGUCUACAUUUUCUUACCAAACAAUUUGACUUUUGAGUGUUGUACUCAAAGAGUCUUGAAGCAGUAAACAAACAACGAAACAAGUACCAUAUGCUCAUAAGUAUUUUUCAUUACCUCACUUUUAUCAAUACAAAACUAUUUUACUACUUCAACAAGUGCAAAAACAGAAAAUUUAACAUUUCAAACUUCAAAAACUAAUGCUAAAAUAAUUAAUAAUAGACAAAAAUAAAAUCUGAAAAUUAAAAAUAAAAAUAAAAAAAUCAGCCAUGAAAAAGAAUAGUAUUUUACCAUUUUUCACAUCAAAAGGCCGAAAAAAUGGUGGUAUGCCAAAGAGGGUGUUCCGGGAGGUCGCCGGAAUUAGGCCGGAUUUUGGUCGCCGGAUUUUUAGGGUAGAAUUGACAUCAAUAGCUAGGUCUUGAAGAGCUCUAUCCAUUGAUGUAGGUAUUUUGGGGUGGUAGUGGUUGGAGCUUCAAGAAUUUGGGCAACAAAGUGACGGGAAAGUUUCCUAGAUCUAAGAUUCAAGGAGUUUGAGGGAUUUUUUUUAGGAUUUGGUUUGGAAAUAUGGAAAGAGGAAGUUGUGGAGAAUACGUGGUGUGAAUUUGGAGGUGGUCCGCCGGCGACGGCGAUUUCCGGCAGGCGACGGUGGGCGGAGCUGGGGCGGCGUACAUAGAGUGCAGAGAGAGAGAAGAGAGAAGAAGGAGAGGGAAAGAAGAGAGAGGAAAUAAGGGGGAAAUGG
rnacentral:lncRNA from 1 species